CGCACGGGUAAGUCCAGUUCCAUGUAUCUGAAUCUGUUUUCUCCUUUGUCAUGUCUCUUCUGAAUGAACCCUAACACAAGUUUGACUUUGAAAAGUUUUUUCGUUUUCUGGUCAAUGAAGGAGAUUACAUCAACCACGUGUGAGUUAAGAAAAUAAAUGGAGCUUACGCCUUUAGUUGAUUUUAUUUUUUAGAUUUGGGCUGCAUUUUCACAUAAAUAAUGUGAAGUUCAAUGUCAUUUUUUUACCUUAAAGCUCGCAAUAGCGACCAGACAAAAGGUCUCCACAAGAAAUAGAAUGAUAUACAUGAAAAGUAACUGGAUAUAUAGAAGCUAGAGAAAAUAAGAUCAAUUAUGAAAAAAUUAUGAUUAUAAUAGUAAUUGUAAUCUUAAUCAGUGAAUAAUAACAUUAACUUAACAUCAAAUUUCACUGUUAUAUAUUUGCUACUGGUAAGUCUGGUAUUAGGGGCAGAUCAAACAUCAAUUCUGGAGUUUUGAAACAAAAAUCAGGAUUAUAUGCAAACUAAUAACUGUAAACUGCCAGCCAUACAUUACUAAU
rnacentral:lncRNA from 1 species